GAUGAACGCUGGCGGCGUGCCUAAUACAUGCAGGUCGAGCGAACAGACGAGGAGCCUGCUCCUCUGACGUUAGCGGCGGACGGGUGAGUAACACGUGGAUAACCUACCUAUAAGACUGGGAUAACUUCGGGAAACCGGAGCUAAUACCGGAUAAUAUAUUGAACCGCAUGGUUCAAUAGUGAAAGACGGUUUUGCUGUCACUUAUAGAUGGAUCCGCGCCGCAUUAGCUAGUUGGUAAGGUAACGGCUUACCAAGGCGACGAUGCGUAGCCGACCUGAGAGGGUGAUCGGCCACACUGGAACUGAGACACGGUCCAGACUCCUACGGGAGGCAGCAGUAGGGAAUCUUCCGGAAUGGGCGAAAGCCUGACGGAGCAACGCCGCGUGAGUGAUGAAGGUCUUCGGAUCGUAAAACUCUGUUAUUAGGGAAGAACAAAUGUGUAAGUAACUAUGCACGUCUUGACGGUACCUAAUCAGAAAGCCACGGCUAACUACGUG
rnacentral:rRNA from 1 species